rnacentral:rRNA from 1 species
UACGUAGGGUGCGAGCGUUAAUCGGAAUUACUGGGCGUAAAGCGUGCGCAGGCGGUUCGUUGUGUCGGCGGUGAAAGCCCCGGGCUUAACCUAGGAAUGGCCGUCGAAACUGGCGAACUGGAGUGUGGCAGAGGGGGGUGGAAUUCCGCGUGUAGCAGUGAAAUGCGUAGAGAUGCGGAGGAACACCGAUGGCGAAGGCAGCCCCCUGGGCUGACACUGACGCUCAGGCACGAAAGCGUGGGGAGCAAACAGG